UGCCAGCCAGUCGGUUAUACAAAAAUUAAAUUAAAUCUUUAUAGUUUAUAAUAAAUAUAAUUAAUUAAAUUAAAUAUUAAAUUAUUAAGUGAAAUUUUAAUUUAAUUUAAAUUUAUUAAAAAUAUAUGAUUUAAUAAAUUUUAUGAUAAACUAGGAUUAGAUACCCUAUUAUUAAAAAUUAUUAUUAAAUACUAAAAUAGUAAAUAUAAAAUAUUGAAACUUAAAUAAUAUGGCGGUAUUUUAGUUUAUUUAGAGGAAUCUGUUUUAUAAUUGAUAAUACACGAAUAAAUUUACUUAAUUAAAAAUUUUAUAUAUCGUUGUUAAAAAAAUAUUUUAAAAUAAAAAUAAUAUUUAAAAAUUAGAAUGAAAAUUAAUUCAAAUCAAGAUGUAGAUUAUAAUUAAGAAAAUAUGGAUUACAAUAAAUUAAUUUAAAUGGAUAAAGAAUUGAAAAAUGAUUUUAAAUUUGGAUUUAAAUGUAAUUUUAAUUAAUUUAUUAAGAUGAUUAAUAAUUAAAAUAUGUACAUAUUGCCCGUCACUUUCAUUUUUAAGUUGGAAUAAGUCGUAACAAAGUAGAAAUACUGGAAAGUGUUUCUAGAAUGA
rnacentral:rRNA from 1 species